AUCCUAAGGGGUACUAGACUAAAAUUCAAAGAAACAAAAGAGACUUGAAAUAAACUGCGGGAGUUGAAUUUACAAAAUAUUUCAUUCACUUCAGAAACUCUAUAAUAACAAUUUUCAUUCAUAUUUUUCUUCUCCUUUCUCUUUUUUUUUCAUUUUUUUUUCAUAAGGAGUAUGUAUUGACAUGUAUACAUCGUUCUAUUUUUUUUUCAUUCAUUUUUUUUAUUUUCCUACCAACUUCUGAAAUAUUACAAACAUGCUUAUUCAACCUCACACAACUCCAUACAAGACUCUUCCAACCCUUUGAAUAGGGUGAUAACAUAGUUUUUC
rnacentral:lncRNA from 1 species